UCAAAAGCCACUACUCCACUACUCAUAAAUACAGCAUACGGGUGAAUACACUUUCCUUAAACAAAUACAUAAAUGUUCAUCAUCUAAUCAAUAAGGAAAUGAUUUACUAAUAAUAAUGAAAUUUAGAGUUUUGUUAGAAGUAAUGAAUACUAGAAUGUCGCUCCUGUCCUUUUGGAACUUUUUGAACUCCUUCCAACAUUAACCACAACCACAAAACUAUGAAUGCAUUCAUAUCUUCGCAUAUCACUUUCUGACAAUACACAGUAGAAAGCAGUUUACUUUAACACCUUACAAAAAUUAUAUAAUUUUUUAUGCAAUGAAUAUCACUGCCCUCAUCUCGACAACUUCCCUCUCUUGGCCUAUGGCAAAGCAUCUACAAAACUCAUGGUUUAACUGUCCUUAAAAUUUUCUGACUCCAUGGCAUCAGUAAAUAAAUGCACUUUCUAGCUCUUCCCAAAUUUAGAAAAGAUUAUCCACAUGCAACGAGUGCUACUUCAUCACCUACAACACUUUCUUAAAAGCCAAUAAAACUCCACCAUUUCCAUAAGUCAUAACUCUAAUAUCCGUACAUGCAUAGGAACAUUUGCAUGCCAACAUAACCGUAUUAUUAAGUGUCACUAAUGCUUAUCUCUUUAUUACAAAAAUCCAGCCACCCAAUGAGACACCCUAUUUCAAAUCAAUUAUUUAUUAACAAAUAAAAGAGAAAAAAUUCGAGUUCCACAAUUAUUUUGAUGGGACUCCUGACUGCAUGCUAAACCAAAGAAAGACAGCAUCUCUGCAAAAUUGUAGUGGAAUAAUUAAAAUAAUCGAAGAAAAUUAAAUUAGAAAUGACAAAGGAAGCUCCAAAGUGUAUCUCAAUCAACUAGUAUUACAUGUGGACAAAAAGGUUAUUUGGGAAGAAGAAAC
rnacentral:lncRNA from 1 species